rnacentral:rRNA from 1 species
AGUGAACGCUGGCGGUAGGCCUAACACAUGCAAGUCGAACGGCAGCACAGUAAGAGCUUGCUCUUACGGGUGGCGAGUGGCGGACGGGUGAGGAAUACAUCGGAAUCUACUUUUUCGUGGGGGAUAACGUAGGGAAACUUACGCUAAUACCGCAUACGAUCUACGGGUGAAAGCAGGGGAUCUUCGGACCUUGCGCGAUUGAAUGAGCCGAUGUCGGAUUAGCUAGUUGGCGGGGUAAAGGCCCACCAAGGCGACGAUCCGUAGCUGGUCUGAGAGGAUGAUCAGCCACACUGGAACUGAGACACGGUCCAGACUCCUACGGGAGGCAGCAGUGGGGAAUAUUGGACAAUGGGCGCAAGCCUGAUCCAGCCAUACCGCGUGGGUGAAGAAGGCCUUCGGGUUGUAAAGCCCUUUUGUUGGGAAAGAAAAGCAGCAGGUUAAUACCCCGCUGUUCUGACGGUACCCAAAGAAUAAGCACCGACUAACUUCGUG